UACGUAGGGGGCAAGCGUUGUCCGGAAUCAUUGGGCGUAAAGGGCGCGUAGGCGGCCCUGUAAGUCCGCUGUGAAAGUCAAGGGCUCAACCCUUGGAUGCCGGUGGAUACUGCAGGGCUAGAGUCCGGAAGAGGCGAGUGGAAUUCCUGGUGUAGCGGUGAAAUGCGCAGAUAUCAGGAGGAACACCAAUGGCGAAGGCAGCUCGCUGGGACGUGACUGACGCUGAGACGCGAAAGCGUGGGGAGCAAACAGG
rnacentral:rRNA from 1 species